rnacentral:rRNA from 1 species
AACGAACGCUGGCGGCAUGCCUAACACAUGCAAGUCGAACGAGACCUUCGGGUCUAGUGGCGCACGGGUGCGUAACGCGUGGGAACCUGCCCUUAGGUUCGGAAUAACUCCCCGAAAGGGGUGCUAAUACCGGAUAAUGUCUUCGGACCAAAGAUUUAGCGCCUUUGGAUGGGCCCGGGUUGGAUUAGCCAGUUGGUAGGGUAAAAGCCUACCAUGGCGACGAUGGGUAGCUGGUCUGAGAGGAUGAUCGGCCACACUGGGACUGAGACACGGCGCAGACUCGGACGGGAGGCAGCAGGGGGGAAUGUUGAAGAAUGGGGGGAAGCCUGAUGCAGAAACGCCGCGUGCGGGAUGACGGACUUAGGGUGGUAAACCGCUUGCGCCGGUGACGAAGCGGGAGUGACGGUAAUGGGUAAAGAAGCACCGGCUAACUACGUG